rnacentral:ribozyme from 1 species
AACAACAACGGAAAAAAAAAAGAGAGAAUAAAAAGGGACGGAGAGAAGGGUGGUUCGAUAUUCAAGUAUUGUUUUUCUUUUACUUCGUUAUUCUCCGUUUAUUUUCAC